UUCUCUUUGCUGAUUAAACCAGCCCAACCCCGACCCUGCAACUGGGAGUGGAGCCACAGCCCCAAGAUCCCCAGGUGAGGCCAUUCAAGGAUAGGACAGAACUCAGAGGUCAUCAUGGAGUCUGUGCUUGGCCUGGUUUUCCUUGUCGCUAUUUUAAAAGGUGUCCAGGGUGAGGUGCAGCUGGUGGAGUCUGGGGGAGACCUGGUGAAGCCUGGGGGGUCCCUGAGACUCUCCUGUGUAGCCUCUGGAUUCACCUUCAGUAGCUCCGACAUGAGCUGGAUCCGCCAGGCUCCAGGAAAGGGGCUUCAGUGGGUCGCAUACAUUAGCAAUGAUGGAAGUAGCACAAGCUACGCAGACGCUGUGAAGGGCCGAUUCACCAUCUCCAGAGACAACGCCAAGAACACGCUCUAUCUGCAGAUGAACAGCCUCAGAGCCGAGGACACGGCCGUGUAUUACUGUGCAGACAGUAGCAGCUGGUUUGACUACUGGGGCCAGGGAACCCUGGUCACCGUCUCCUCAGAGAGUCCAUCCCCUCCAAACCUCUUCCCCCUCAUCACCUGUGAGAACUCCCUGUCCGAUGAGACCCUCGUGGCCAUGGGCUGCCUGGCCCGGGACUUCCUGCCUGGCUCCAUCACCUUCUCCUGGAAGUACGAGAACCUCAGUGCAAUCAACAACCAGGACAUUAAGACCUUCCCUUCAGUUCUGAGAGAGGGCAAGUAUGUGGCGACCUCUCAGGUGUUCCUGCCCUCCGUGGACAUCAUCCAGGGUUCAGACGAGUACAUCACAUGCAACGUCAAGCACUCCAAUGGUGACAAAUCUGUGAACGUGCCCAUCACAGGGCCUGUACCAACGUCUCCCAACGUGACUGUCUUCAUCCCACCCCGCGACGCCUUCUCUGGCAAUGGCCAGCGCAAGUCCCAGCUCAUCUGCCAGGCUGCAGGUUUCAGCCCCAAGCAGAUUUCCGUGUCUUGGUUCCGUGAUGGAAAGCAGAUUGAGUCUGGCUUCAACACAGGGAAGGCAGAGGCCGAGGAGAAAGAGCAUGGGCCUGUGACCUACAGCAUCCUCAGCAUGCUGACCAUCACCGAGAGUGCCUGGCUCAGCCAGAGCGUGUUCACCUGCCACGUGGAGCACAAUGGGAUCAUCUUCCAGAAGAACGUGUCCUCCAUGUGCACCUCCAAUACACCCGUUGGCAUCAGCAUCUUCACCAUCCCCCCCUCCUUUGCCAGCAUCUUCAACACCAAGUCAGCCAAGCUGUCCUGCCUGGUCACUGACCUGGCCACUUAUGACAGCCUGACCAUCUCCUGGACCCGUCAGAAUGGCGAGGCUCUGAAAACCCACACCAACAUCUCUGAGAGCCACCCCAACAACACCUUCAGUGCCAUGGGGGAAGCCACUGUCUGCGUGGAGGAAUGGGAGUCAGGCGAGCAGUUCACCUGCACAGUGACCCACACAGAUCUGCCCUCACCGCUGAAGAAGACCAUCUCCAGGCCCAAGGAUGUCAACAAGCACAUGCCUUCUGUCUACGUCCUGCCCCCGAGCCGGGAGCAGCUGAGCCUGCGGGAAUCGGCCUCACUCACCUGCCUGGUGAAAGGCUUCUCACCCCCAGAUGUGUUCGUGCAGUGGCUGCAGAAGGGCCAGCCCGUGCCCCCUGACAGCUACGUGACCAGCGCCCCGAUGCCCGAGCCCCAAGCCCCCGGCCUCUACUUUGUCCACAGCAUCCUGACCGUGAGUGAGGAGGACUGGAAUGCCGGGGAGACCUACACCUGUGUUGUAGGCCAUGAGGCCCUGCCCCAUGUGGUGACCGAGAGGAGCGUGGACAAGUCCACCGGGGGGGAGGUGAGUGCCGAGGAGGAAGGCUUCGAGAACCUGAAUACCAUGGCAUCCACCUUCAUCGUCCUCUUCCUCCUCAGUGUCUUCUACAGCACCACAGUCACUCUGUUCAAGGUGAAAUGACCGGCCAGCUAGGAGCAUCAGAGCCCCGGGAGAUGGAGCCCAGGGGGCACUGCCUUGGGGUCUGGGGUCCCCAGCCUGUGGGGCCCAUCAACUUGUGCCUAAAUCUUUCCCACGUCGCCCCUCCCGCUUCCAGCUCAAAGACAAGGGCCUCUUGAGACUUGGCCAAUACCGGGAUGCGUGGGAGCCUGCAGCCGUGGCUCCACUGCGAGCGUUGCUUUGCAAUGUAUACGCAUGUCGCCUUGAAAUAAACAUGUACAUUUUGUGAAA